rnacentral:rRNA from 1 species
AGUGAACGCUGGCGGUAGGCCUAACACAUGCAAGUCGAACGGCAGCACAGUAAGAGCUCGCUCUUACGGGUGGCGAGUGGCGGACGGGUGAGGAAUACAUAGGAAUCUACUUUUUCGUGGGGGAUAACGUAGGGACACUUACGCUAAUACCGCAUACGACCUACGGGUGAAAGCAGGGGAUCUUCGGACCUUGCGUGAUUGAAUGAGCCGAUGUCGGAUUAGCUAGUUGGCGGGGUAAAGGCCCACCAAGGCGACGAUCCGUAGCUGGUCUGAGAGGAUGAUCAGCCACACUGGAACUGAGACACGGUCCAGACUCCUACGGGAGGCAGCAGUGGGGAAUAUUGGACAAUGGGCGCAAGCCUGAUCCAGCCAUACCGCGUGAGUGAAGAAGGCCUUCGGGUUGUAAAGCCCUUUUAUUGGGAAAGAAAAGCAGCAGGUUAAUACCCCGCUGUUCUGACGGUACCCAAAGAAUAAGCACCGGCUAACUUCGUG